rnacentral:tRNA from 1 species
GGAGGGAUGCCGGAGCCCGGCUUAACGGACACGUCUUGAAAACGUGCGUGGGGUAACCCACCGUGGGUUCGAAUCCCACUCCCUCCG